UCACCCGCUGUCACUGGCUGGAGGAGUCGGAGGCAAGUUGUUAGUGACAUAUUGAGGUGUGAUGGUAGUGAAGGGGACAGGCACCACUGUUUUCUUCACUCUCCAAUGUCCUGGUCUGGUCCACUCUGCAGCUUCAUGGACCCUCCACCUGGUCCUGGCUCUGGAUGGACAGACAGCCUUGCACAAAGAAGAGACAGAUGACAACAAGCUUCAUCUACAAUGAAAGAAGAAUCCCGUCUAACUACCCUCAAGACAUCAUAAUUACACGAGGGACAGGACAUCAGUGCAUGUGCCUCUCUCACACUGCCAGUCUCAAGCUGCUGCCAAUGUAGAGGAACGCAGAUGAAUUGAGGGAGGGGCACAUUGAGCAGGACACACACAAUGAAGUAAAUGAAGACAACAGAAUUACUAGAGGUUAUCAGUGCAUGUGGGGGCCCCUUUCCCAAACUGAGUCUCCAAUUGUUGCCAGCGUGGAAGGAAGCAGUAGAGUUGGGGGAGGGGCACACUCUGGCAGGACAAGCUGAUGGCUAGUUGUCUAAAGAUGCAUAAGAGCAGAGACUCCCCACUCUAUGUCAAAGUGCAUCAUCAUUCAUCUACAUAUUUGUUACAAUGACAACAGAUUGCCAUGUCUUAAUAAAAAAUAUACGUUAGUUGACUA